rnacentral:rRNA from 1 species
GACGAACGCUGGCGGCGUGCUUAACACAUGCAAGUCGAACGGAAAGGCCCUGCUUGCAGGGUACUCGAGUGGCGAACGGGUGAGUAACACGUGGGUGAUCUGCCCUGCACUUCGGGAUAAGCCUGGGCAACUGGGUCUAAUACCGGAUAGGAGCCAUUUUUAGCGUGAUGGUUGGAAAGUUUUUUGGGUGUAGGAUGAGCUCGCGGCCUAUCAGCUUGUUGGUGGGGUAAUGGCCUACCAAGGCGGCGACGGGUAGCCGGCCUGAGAGGGUGGACGGCCACAUUGGGACUGAGAUGCGGCACAGACUCCGACGGGAGGCAGCAGUGGGGAAGAUUGCACAAUGGGCGCAAGCCUGAUGCAGCGACGCCGCGUGGGGGAUGACGGCCUUCGGGUUGUAAACUCCUUUCGCUAGGGACGAAGCUUUUUGUGACGGUACCUAGAUAAGAAGCACCGGCUAACUACGUG